CCUACGGGAGGCAGCAGUAGGGAAUAUUGCGCAAUGGGGGAAACCCUGAAGCAGCAACGCCGCGUGGGGGAUGAAGGUUUUCGGAUUGUAAACCCCUUUUGGUAGAGAAGAAAAUGACGGUAUCUAACGAAUAAGCACCGGCUAACUCCGUGCCAGCAGCCGCGGUAAUACGGAGUGGGCAAGCGUUAUCCGGAAUCACUGGGCGUAAAGAGCGCGUAGGCGGGAUAGCAAGUCAGGUGUGAAAUCCUGUGGCUUAACCAUAGAACUGCAUUUGAAACUGUUCUUCUAGAGUAUGGGAGAGGUAGGUGGAAUUCUUGGUGUAGGGGUGAAAUCCGUAGAGAUUAAGAGGAAUACUCAUUGCGAAGGCGACCUGCUAGAACAUAACUGACGCUGAGGCGCGAAAGCGUGGGGAGCAAACAGGAUUAGAUACCCUAGUAGUC
rnacentral:rRNA from 1 species